GAUGAACGCUGCCCGCAUGCUUAACACAUCAGCAAUUGAUUGGUGGCGGACGGGUGCGUAACGCGUAAAGAACUUGCCUCCCAGGUAGGGACAACAUUUGGAAACGAAUGCUAAUACCUAAUACUGUGAGAGAGCUUUGCGUCCCAUUAGCUAGUUGGAGGGGUAACGGCUCACCAAGGCGAUGCUGGGUAGCCGGCCUGAGAGGGUGAUCGGCAAAAAGGGGACGGAGACAAGGCCCUUACUCCUACGGGAGGAAGCAGUGGGGAAGAAUGGACAAUGGACAAAAGUCUGAUCAAGAAAUUCUGUGUGCACGAUGAAGUUGUCGGAAUGUAAAGUGAUUUCAGUUGAGAAGCGGUACCAACAGAAGAAGUGACGGCUAAAUACGUGCCAGCAGCCGCGGUAAUUC
rnacentral:rRNA from 1 species